CCUUCUUUGUCAGCCUUCAUGACUGACCUAUCAAGAAAAUGUGAGUGUGCUGCACAUCGCACUGCCAGUAAUAUCUUUCUGAUAACAGACUUCUCAGCACCUCACUUGGGGGAGGUGUUGCUUCAGGACAUCCCAUUCCUAGAUGGACACAGUUAACCUAUUUCCUCUGGUCUCUUGAAGGAAGAAGCAGCCAUGUAAGCCAGGCAGAGCCUUUGACACAAACUCUGAGGCUCCAGUGAGGACACUGGGCUAUCUAGUACACAUUCAAGAAGAACGGGUACGUGGAGCAGAGUCAGUUAAAA